rfam:Theobroma cacao cultivar Matina 1-6 unplaced genomic scaffold scaffold_15, whole genome shotgun sequence.
AAUCCAUGGUGAGGACAUCUUCUCAUCAAAUCCUUAUACCUUUCCCAAGCCUCAUAUAGUGAUUUAGAAUCAAAUUGCAUGAAAGAAGUAAUAUCAUUCCGCAUUUU